rnacentral:rRNA from 1 species
UACGUAGGGUGCGAGCGUUGUCCGGAAUUACUGGGCGUAAAGAGCUCGUAGGUGGUUUGUUCGCGUUGUUCGUGAAAACUCACAACUCAAUUGUGGGCGUGCGGGCGAUACGGGGCAGACUGGAGUACUGCAGGGGGAGACUGGAAUUCCUGGUGUAGCGGUGGAAUGCGCAGAUAUCAGGAGGAACACCGGUGGCGAAGGCGGGUCUCUGGGCAGUAACUGACGCUGAGGAGCGAAAGCGUGGGGGAGCGAACAGGA